CGCCACUGUGGGGUCCGGGACGGGCCGCGGGCUCUGUGGUGGCGAGUUGUGGCGGAGCCCCGCGGCCGCCGGCGGCCUCGGCUGGUGCCUCUGGUGUUCGCCGCGUUUCGGUUUCCCCACGCAGGCGCGUGGGUGUCGGCCUCAAAGCCCCUGUAAAAGUUGGAGUGUGCYAUUUUGAAUGCGCCCUUACAAGUUUUACUUACUCUCCCGCGUAUUUAAGAUCUCAGCUACCCUCUAAUUACGCAGAACUAUUCAUGGUAUCUUCUGAAGCCAGGAUGGGAAAGGAGUCCAAUCAGGAGUCCAGCCAGAACUCUGAAGGAUGCAGGACUAGUCUCAGGUAUAAAACAGAAACGGUUCUGGUCGAAUCUAAUGCCUGUGAGGUUUUCCUGGCAUACAACACAGCCCCAUCCUGCUUUAUCCUGCAUCUGGUAUGGAUAUUGUACUGUAGAUAAGCUGCACUAGCUUUAUACCCACUGCCUGCAUGAGAAUCUUCUCUGGAGAAA
rnacentral:lncRNA from 1 species